CUGGCGGCGUGCCUAAUACAUGCAAGUCGAACGGUCUUUCUAUGGAAGCUUGCUUCCACUGAGAAGAUAGUGGCGAACGGGUGAGUAACACGUGGGUAACCUGCCCAUAAGAGGGGGAUAACAUCCGGAAACGGGUGCUAAUACCGCAUAGUUUUCUUGAUCGCAUGAUUGAGAAAGGAAAGACGGCCUUUGUGCUGUCGCUUAUGGAUGGACCCGCGGCGUAUUAGUUAGUUGGUGAGGUAACGGCUCACCAAGACGAUGAUACGUAGCCGACCUGAGAGGGUGAUCGGCCACAUUGGGACUGAGACACGGCCCAAACUCCUACGGGAGGCAGCAGUAGGGAAUCUUCCGCAAUGGACGAAAGUCUGACGGAGCAACGCCGCGUGAGUGAAGAAAGGGUUUUCGGAUCGUAAAACUCUGUUGUCAGAGAAGAACAAGUUGGAGAGUAACUGCUCCAGCCUUGACGGUAUCUGACCAGAAAGCCACGGCUAACUACGUGCCAGCCGCAGC
rnacentral:rRNA from 1 species